GACGGACGCUGGCGGCGUGCUUAACACAUGCAAGUCGAACGGAAAGGCCCCAGCUUGCUGGGGUACUCGAGUGGCGAACGGGUGAGUAACACGUGGGUGAUCUGCCCUGCACUCUGGGAUAAGCCUGGGAAACUGGGUCUAAUACCGGAUAGGACCGUGCUUUAGUGUGUGCGGUGGAAAGUUUUUCGGUGCAGGAUGAGCCCGCGGCCUAUCAGCUUGUUGGUGGGGUAAUGGCCUACCAAGGCGGCGACGGGUAGCCGGCCUGAGAGGGUGUACGGCCACAUUGGGACUGAGACACGGCCCAGACUCCUACGGGAGGCAGCAGUGGGGAAUAUUGCACAAUGGGCGCAGGCCUGAUGCAGCGACGCCGCGUGGGGGAUGACGGCCUUCGGGUUGUAAACCCCUUUCGGCAGGGACGAAGCUUUUGUGACGGUACCUGCAGAAGAAGCACCGGCUAACUACGUG
rnacentral:rRNA from 1 species